UGGAGAGUUUGAUCCUGGCUCAGGACGAACGCUGGCGGCGUGCUUAACACAUGCAAGUCGAACGAUGAAGCCCAGCUUGCUGGGUGGAUUAGUGGCGAACGGGUGAGUAACACGUGAGUAACCUGCCCUUGACUCUGGGAUAAGCGUUGGAAACGACGUCUAAUACCGGAUACGAGCUUCCACCGCAUGGUGAGUUGCUGGAAAGAAUUUUGGUCAAGGAUGGACUCGCGGCCUAUCAGCUUGUUGGUGAGGUAAUGGCUCACCAAGGCGACGACGGGUAGCCGGCCUGAGAGGGUGACCGGCCACACUGGGACUGAGACACGGCCCAGACUCCUACGGGAGGCAGCAGUGGGGAAUAUUGCACAAUGGGCGAAAGCCUGAUGCAGCAACGCCGCGUGAGGGACGACGGCCUUCGGGUUGUAAACCUCUUUAGCAGGGAAGAAGCGAAAGUGACGGUACCUGCAGAAGAAGCACCGGCUAACUACGUGCCAGCAGCCGCGG
rnacentral:rRNA from 1 species